CCUGCAGCCUCACUGCUCAAUCCUCUGCCAUUUAGGAGUUAAAUCCCUUUGUUUAUGAACCCUAGUCACACCUCCCUGCAUGUGACUUGCACAGCCUUCCAUAAACACUUCCUGUAAAGAGGGCCCUAUUUAGGCUUUCUUUAUUGCAAGUUCUGUUUAAUUAAGAUUUUCUUAUCCCCUGCUAUGUUAAUAGCUUGCUAGACCCUGCAAGAGCCUCCUGUAUGUGAUUAAAGUUCAAUUUAGAGAUUGAGAUACAAUUAAGGUAAAUUACAUCUGUUUGAAAGUGAAACCAGUUUUUUUUUCAUGCAGGCUCUGUCAAUCAUAGCCAGGGGAGGUGUGGCUAGGGCUGCAUAAACAGAAACAAAGUGAUUUAACUCAUAAAUGACAGUGAAUUGAGCAGUGAAAUUGCA